AACGCACAUUGCGCCUGUUAGCAUUCUAGCAGGCAUGCCUGUUCGAGCGUCAUUUCAACCCUCAAGUCCUACUGUGGCUUGGUGUUGGGGUACCUGUGUGGCACUUUGUGCCCUAUGGGGCCCUGAAAGUCAGUUGGCGGACCCGCUAGGACUCCGAGCGUAGUAGCAUUUUCUCGCCUCUGGAGGUUCUAGAGGGGCUUUCUGGCCAUUAAACCCCUUACUGAAAUUAUUGAAAAUUUGACCUCGGAUCAGGUAGGAAUACCCGCUGAACUUAA
rnacentral:misc_RNA from 1 species